CGAAUGCAGCCGAAAUUCCACCGGGGUAUAGUUUAGACUGACCGCACAUGAGGUUCCUGCCAAAAAAGGUUCCAUGAAAUUAGGCUGUGCGGUUGGUCUCUUUCAGGAGUAUUAAAAAUACGAAACACCAGGCAUGAACUUGUUGUUCUGUGUAUCUUGUUCGGGAGUUUGCUCCCCCCGAACGCCACUCUGUUCAUCUGAAUCCCCACGAACCUAAC